rnacentral:rRNA from 1 species
UACGGAGGGUGCAAGCGUUAUCCGGAUUCACUGGGUUUAAAGGGUGCGUAGGUGGGUAGGUAAGUCAGUGGUGAAAUCUCCGAGCUUAACUCGGAAACUGCCAUUGAUACUAUCUAUCUUGAAUAUCCUGGAGGUGAGCGGAAUAUGUCAUGUAGCGGUGAAAUGCUUAGAUAUGACAUAGAACACCAAUUGCGAAGGCAGCUCACUACGGGAUUAUUGACACUGAGGCACGAAAGCGUGGGGAUCAAACAGG